rnacentral:rRNA from 1 species
UACGUAGGGUGCGAGCGUUGUCCGGAAUUAUUGGGCGUAAAGAGCUCGUAGGCGGCUUGGUAGGUCCGCUGUGAAAACUCGAGGCUCAACCUCGAGAUGUCGGCGGAAACCACUUGGCUAGAGUCCGGAAGAGGAGAGUGGAAUUCCCGGUGUAGCGGUGAAAUGCGCAGAUAUCGGGAAGAACACCUAUGGCGAAGGCAGCUCUCUGGGACGGUACUGACGCUGAGACGCGAAAGCGUGGGGAGCGAACAGG